ACUCAAAUGAAUUGACGGGGGCUCACACAAGCGGUGGAGCAUGUGGAUCAAUUCGAAGCAACGCGAAGAACCUUACCUGGGUUUGACAUGCACGGAUGGUCUCGGUGAAAGCUGAGUAAUCUGCCUUCGGGUGAAACGUGCACAGGUGCUGCAUGGCUGUCGUCAGCUCGUGCUGUGAAGUGUCGGGUUAAGUCCCUUAACGAGCGAAACCCUUAUCGCUAGUUGCCAGCGGGUAAAGCCGGGAACUCUAGCGAGACUGCCGGCGUGAAGCCGGAGGAAGGUGGGGACGACGUCAAGUCAUCAUGGCCUUUAUGUCCAGGGCGUCACACGUGCUACAAUGGGGUGUACAGAGCGAAGCAAAGCCGUGAGGUCGAGCAAAUCGCACAAAACACCCCUCAGUUCGGAUUGAGGUCUGCAAUUCGACCUCAUGAAGUUGGAAUCGCUAGUAAUCGCGUAUCAGCCACGACGCGGUGAAUAUGUUCCUGAGCCUUGUACACACCGCCCGU
rnacentral:rRNA from 1 species